GGUUCGAUAGCUUGGUUGGUAAAACGCUUGUUUAGCGUAUGAGGGUCGUGAGUUCAAAUCUCACCUGAGCUG
rnacentral:tRNA from 1 species